UUGGUUAUAAAAUUAUUGCUUUCUGCUUACUAGCUCUACUAUGAACUAGUACGCAAUUUUCUUGCACUGAAAUCUAUGAACAGAUAUAAUGUAUUCCAACAAUGUAGUCGAUGUACCAGGCUGUUUUUUUUUUUAACCAAAAAAAGUCUUAUGGAAAUUUGAUGGAAAAGUCUCAAGUACAUUGAUGUAAUAAUUAGUAAUUUAAAAAAAAUUCUACCACAGUAGCAUCCAAACCCUACAGAAUAUAAUUACAGACAAACAAUAGGACCACGAAAACCACAACGACAAGACAACUUUAGUUGUACAGCUGUAAGAUUGCACCAAGUA